rnacentral:lncRNA from 1 species
CUUCAGUCGCUCGCUCAGUCACUUCUUCCUAAAUCGAAAUCCAAACAAACCGAACGUACAACCAUGCCUGACCACGGAAAUUAUCGGGAGAUGGGGGAUACUUCCAUCUACUUUAUCGACGGGCAGAACACGCAGCCGUGGGAAAAAUAGCGGACGAUCUUUGUUGGAAGCUUUGUUUACCACGCGGAUUAGUUGAAAAAGCAUUAAAAAGCGCGCACGAAGACCCACUAUCCUCCCACGGUGGCAUAAACAAAACCUUAGAGAAACUACGACGCUUUUGCUAUUGGCCUAAUUUGGU